CCUCGUGUGGAAACCUGACUCAUGAAGUGGUUUGGCACCUCCAUAGUCCCAGAGCUGAAGCUGCUGUCAGCGCAUCUUUGGCUGGACUGAGACCUUGAUUCUACCAUAGGACAUGAUGACUUCACUUUCUUCCAGACCACAUGCCAAACAUGCAUGUUUGCUUUCUGUUGGCUGGGAUCUUGGAGAUGGACAUGUUAUCCUUUACAUGGAGUACUUUGGUAUUUACCUGAAUAAGCCUCACAUCAUCAAAGUUUUUCUUGCCUCAUUUGCACUUGGCCUUUGGAAAUGUGGAGAAUAUUGCUUCAAUUUCUUCUUGUAAUUUAUAGUGCCAUAUUCAACCAGACAAUGAUGCCCUCUUCU